GACGAACGCUGGCGGCGUGCCUAAUACAUGCAAGUAGAACGCUGAAGGGGGAGCUUGCUUCUCUGGAUGAGUUGCGAACGGGUGAGUAACGCGUAGGUAACCUGCCUGGUAGCGGGGGAUAACUAUUGGAAACGAUAGCUAAUACCGCAUAAGAGUAGAUGUUGCAUGACAUUUGCUUAAAAGGUGCAAUUGCAUCACUACCAGAUGGACCUGCGUUGUAUUAGCUAGUUGGUGGGGUAACGGCUCACCAAGGCGACGAUACAUAGCCGACCUGAGAGGGUGAUCGGCCACACUGGGACUGAGACACGGCCCAGACUCCUACGGGAGGCAGCAGUAGGGAAUCUUCGGCAAUGGACGGAAGUCUGACCGAGCAACGCCGCGUGAGUGAAGAAGGUUGUCGGAUCGUAAAGCUCUGUUGUAAGAGAAGAACGAGUGUGAGAGUGGAAAGUUCACACUGUGACGGUAUCUUACCAGAAAGGGACGGCUAACUACGUG
rnacentral:rRNA from 1 species